GCAAAUUGGCUAGUGUGGUUGGAACCUCUAUAUACUGAUAAAUUCACAGCGGAUUUGGAGAAAGUGUCCAAUGCCAGAGUGUUGCUUGAAACAGAUAUCUCAAAGCCGUUACCAGAUAGUUUAGAGCUUCAAACAGAAAGAGGAAUCAUAGUCCAACAAAUAGACUACGAAUGGAAAUCAAAGUAUUGUGAUAACUGUAUCAAAUUUGGGCAUAGUUCUACUGAGUGUUGGUAUAAAGAAGAGCAACAGACAUCAAAGGAAGACAGGAACAAACCUAAAUCAGGUCAGUUGAAACAGAAGUUCAGAGUAACCAAGAGAUGGACACUAAAAGUAAAAACCAAGAAUGUGGCAAUUGAAUAGGAAAAGAAGACUGGGGAUACGAUGGAGACAGAAGGAACUAGCUUUACAAAGGAGGAUGAAAAUGGGUAACAGAAAGGGAAGAAUGCACUGCAAACAGAAACUUGUA
rnacentral:lncRNA from 1 species